GACGAACGCUGGCGGCGUGCCUAAUACAUGCAAGUCGAGCGCAGGAAACUGACGGAACUCUUCGGAGGGAAGGCAGUGGAAUGAGCGGCGGACGGGUGAGUAACACGUAAGGAACCUGCCUCAAGGAUUGGGAUAACUCCGAGAAAUCGGAGCUAAUACCGGAUAGUUCAACGGACCGCAUGGUCCGCUGAUGAAAGGCGCUCCGGCGUCACCUUGAGAUGGCCUUGCGGUGCAUUAGCUAGUUGGUGGGGUAACGGCCCACCAAGGCGACGGUGCAUAGCCGACCUGAGAGGGUGAUCGGCCACACUGGGACUGAGACACGGCCCAGACUCCUACGGGAGGCAGCAGUAGGGAAUCUUCCACAAUGGACGAAAGUCUGAUGGAGCAACGCCGCGUGAGUGAUGAAGGUUUUCGGAUCGUAAAACUCUGUUGUAGGGGAAGAACACGUACGAGAGGAAAUGCUCGUACCUUGACGGUACCUUACGAGAAAGCCACGGCUAACUACGUGCCAGCAGCCGCCGUAACAC
rnacentral:rRNA from 1 species